rnacentral:tRNA from 1 species
GCCGCCUUAGCUCAGCUGGUAGAGCAUUCGCCUUGUAAGCGUUGUGUCGCGGGUUCGAAUCCCGCAGGCGGCUCCG